rnacentral:rRNA from 1 species
UAACGCGAAGAACCUUACCUGGGCUCGAAAUGUACCGGAAUCCGGUGGAAACAUCGGCGUCUAGCAAUAGACCGGUAUAUAGGUGCUGCAUGGCUGUCGUCAGCUCGUGUCGUGAGAUGUUGGGUCAAGUCCCGCAACGAGCGCAACCCUUAUCUCCAGUUGCUACCAUUUAGUUGAGCACUCUGGCGAAACCGCCUCGGAUAACGGGGAGGAAGGUGGGGAUGACGUCAAGUCAUCAUGGCCUUUAUGACCAGGGCUACACACGUGCUACAAUGGGGCGUACAGAGGGUAGCCAACCAGCGAUGGGGAGCCAAUCUCUUAAAGCGUCUCGUAGUCCGGAUUGGAGUCUGCAACUCGACUCCAUGAAGUUGGAAUCGCUAGUAAUCGCGAAUCAGCAACGUCGCGGUGAAUACGUUCCCGGGCCUUGUACACACC